GAGCAUAUCAAUAAGCGGAGGAAAAGAAACUAACAAGGAUUCCCCUAGUAACUGCGAGUGAAGAGGGAAAAGCUCAAAUUUAAAAUCUGGCCCGCUCUGGUCCCCCGAGUUGUUUUCUGGAGAAUCGUUUUCCGCGUCGGACCGUGCAUAAGUCUCCUGGAACGGAGCGUCAUAAAGGGUGAGAAUCCCGUCCAUGGCACGGACCGCCGAUGCUUUGUGAUACGUUUUCAAAGAGUCGAGUUGUUUGGGAAUGCAGCUCAAAACGGGUGGUAAAUUCCAUCUAAAGCUAAAUAUUGGCGAGAGACCGAUAGCGAACAAGUACCGUGAGGGAAAGAUGAAAAGCACUUUGGAAAGAGAGUUAAACAGUACGUGAAAUUGUUGAAAGGGAAACGCUUGAAGUCAGUCGCGUCCGACGGAACUCAGCCUUGCUUCGGCCUGGUGUACUUUCUGUCGGACGGGUCAACAUCAGUUUUGACCGGUGGAAAAAGGCAGGGGGAAUGUAGCGUCGCUUCGGCGGCGUGUUAUAGCCCCUUGCUGCAUGCAUCGGUCGGGACUGAGGACCGCAGCACGCCUUUUUGGCCGGGGGUUCGCCCCACGUACCGUGCUUAGGAUGUUGGCAUAAUGGCUUUAAGCGACCCGUCUUGAAACACGGACCAAGGAGUCCAACAUGCUUGCGAGUGUUCGGGUGGAAAACCCUUGCGCGCAAUGAAAGUAACAGUUGGGAACCUCCGCAAGGGGGUGCACCGACGCCCGGCCCUGAAGUUCUCUGACGGUGCUGCGGUAGAGCAAGUAUGCUGGGACCCGAAAGAUGGUGAACUAUGCCUGAAUAGGGCGAAGCCAGAGGAAACUCUGGUGGAGGCUCGUAUCGAUUCUGACGUGCAAAUCGAUCGUCAAAUUUGCUUAUACGGGCG
rnacentral:rRNA from 1 species